rnacentral:misc_RNA from 1 species
GAUGAAGAACGCAGCGAAAUGCGAUAAGUAAUGUGAAUUGCAGAAUUCAGUGAAUCAUCGAAUCUUUGAACGCACAUUGCGCCCCCUGGUAUUCCGGGGGGCAUGCCUGUUCGAGCGUCAUUUCACCACUCAAGCCUCGCUUGGUAUUGGGCAACGCGGUCCGCCGCGUGCCUCAAAUCGACCGGCUGGGUCUUCUGUCCCCUAAGCGUUGUGGAAACUAUUCGCUAAAGGGUGUUCGGGAGGCUACGCCGUAAAACAACCCCAUUUCUAAGGUUGACCUCGGAUCAGGUAGGGAUACCCGCUGAACUUAAGCAUAUCAAGAAGCGGAGGA